AUUGAACGCUGGCGGCAUGCCUUACACAUGCAAGUCGAACGGCAGCACGGGUGCUUGCCCCUGGUGGCGAGUGGCGAACGGGUGAGUAAUACAUCGGAACAUGUCCUGUAGUGGGGAAUAGCCCGGCGAAAGCCGGAUUAAUACCGCAUACGAUCUACGGAUGAAAGCGGGGGACCUUCGGGCCUCGCGCUAUAGGGUUGGCCGAUGGCUGAUUAGCUAGUUGGUGGGGUAAAGGCCUACCAAGGCGACGAUCAGUAGCUGGUCUGAGAGGACGACCAGCCACACUGGGACUGAGACACGGCCCAGACUCCUACGGGAGGCAGCAGUGGGGAAUUUUGGACAAUGGGCGAAAGCCUGAUCCAGCAAUGCCGCGUGUGUGAAGAAGGCCUGCGGGUUGUAAAGCACUUUUGUCCGGAAAGAAAUCCUUGGCCCUAAUACGGUCGGGGGAUGACGGUACCGGAAGAAUAAGCACCGGCUAACUACGU
rnacentral:rRNA from 1 species